rnacentral:piRNA from 1 species
UGGCAGAUAGAUACCCUACCUAGAGGGGCAGG